rnacentral:rRNA from 1 species
AUUGAACGCUGGCGGCAUGCUUUACACAUGCAAGUCGAACGGCAGCGCGGGCUUCGGCCUGGCGGCGAGUGGCGAACGGGUGAGUAAUACAUCGGAACGUGCCCAGUAGUGGGGGAUAGCUCGGCGAAAGCCGGAUUAGUACCGCAUACGACCUGAGGGUGAAAGCGGGGGAUCUUCGGACCUCGCGCUAUUGGAGCGGCCGAUGGCAGAUUAGCUAGUUGGUGGGGUAAAGGCCUACCAAGGCGACGAUCUGUAGCUGGUCUGAGAGGACGACCAGCCACACUGGGACUGAGACACGGCCCAGACUCCUACGGGAGGCAGCAGUGGGGAAUUUUGGGCAAUGGGCGAAAGCCUGAUCCAGCAAUGCCGCGUGUGUGAUGAAGGCCUUCGGGUUGUAAAGCACUUUUGGCGGGAACGAAAAGGACUGUGCCAAUACCACGGUUCGAUGACGGUACCCGCAGAAUAAGCACCGGCUAACUACGUG